UUCAAUGGGGACAUCCACAACAGAGUGGAAUUACAUCGCCCCCUUGCGGUUGAAGGCGCCGUCGCAAGAAGGACACUACAUAAUUUGACAUUUUCCAAACUUUGCCUUGUCUUCAGUCCAGCCAGAGUCCGGAAGUUACCAAACCACAGAAGAAGAUGAAAAUAUGUGGUUUUCGUUGAUGGAUGAUGGCUGCAACCCACUCCCAGUUAAGCGGGGUCCGUUCAGGCCUCCGUCAGCUCCACAAUGCCCUGGGGGAUGUGAUGGACAUCCAGAACUCUCUGCCCGGUAGAAGUCAGCAAUGCCUGGAGGCAAAACAUUAACACCAUUGAGAACCUGAAGUACGUAAAAUAUGCUGGGACACAACAUCAGCAGAGGCUCCUCAGAGGAGGAAGUCAUUCACCCGGAACACUCAUCCCAUCCCUACCUGGUCGUCGGUGACUUCAGUUACUUCAUUGGAUCUGCCUAUUCACUCCCAUCAACUCACCUCCACUGCCCGCUCCGCCACCUGGAUCUUUCUACCUCUACGUUUAAACUUGUAAAUAAAUACUCACCUUCGUCCUA